GGAGUGAGGCCCAAGCCGUUAAUAGAGCUAUACUAAAAUCCACUGAGUCGCUGCUUCCCGCAUUUCUCUUUGCGAUUCAACUCUCUCUUCUCUCAGAUUAAGAUUCUCAUACUUUGUUCCAGGAAAGCUCGAGUAGCGGACCUAAUACCGAUUUCCAGGAAAUUUAUCGGACUCACGUACCGAUGCUCAAACACUGUAUCAACGGCUUGUCUAUCAGCACGAACUAUACCAGCUUCGAGAAGAGAGGGACAUGAAACCUGAGACAUUUUCUAGCCUUGUCUCAGCACGUCUUUACGAGAAAAGGCUCCCCUUUUCUGGUGAGGAAGGAGACCCAGUACCGGCCAAUGCCCCAGCCAUUAACCCAAACUGCACCUUUCCCCAUGGAACCAAGGUUCAGGGUGAUAGGGCCAUCGCCCGGAGGUGCAUCGAACCUUGUCUGUCAAUUAGCAAUGAAUUUAAAAUGGUGAAACAGAAAAACUAGCUCACCACUGGUAGAUAUUGUCAUCUUUGAACUUUCCAUUUAGAAAUUUCCUCAAAUUUUUUAAAACAUGUCUGCCAAGAAGAGGUUUCCAUACUCUUGUAAAAAAUGUCAUUCUCUUUCUCUAUUUCCAAAGAGGACAGCUCUGGUAAAGAAUGUCAUUCUCUUUGUCUAUUUCCAAAGAGGACAAUAUCUGCUAAUGGUGGAAUGGGCGGUUACAAAUUGUUUAUGGGUUAGUACCUUAUACCAUGUGAGGGGCCGAGACGAGUUCUCUAACUUACUCCAUUGAGUAUCAUUUGAUCCCGAGCCUAAAAAUACUUGCGAGUUCUCUCCCGAUAGGCCAACCUUUUGACACAUUGUUAAAAAAAGCCCAAGAACUCUUCUUUCAAGAUAUGCUCCAGAACCCUUCACAUAAGAACUCGCUCAGAUGGUAUCAAAUGCAUCAAACUAUGGAAGGAAAGAUAAAAUAUCCAUACCGAUAACCCGACUGUUACACUGAGCAAUGAGAUGUUGUUGGUUUCAUGUCUCAAUGUAAUAUUAUUAUUAAGAUAGAAGCUCAAUUCAUUUUUAGCUCCAUGGGCGGAGCCUGUAAAACAUUAAUAGAUAAAUGUUCAGUAAUACGGUCUCUUCGAGCUUCAA